UGCAUGGGGCCCCUGAGGUUUGUGGCCCCUCCCACAGUCACUACACUGAAUACUAAAAUAAACAUGUUGCUUGUUUAAAGGCAGCCUUUGUGUGGCAACUGCAGACCUGACAGAGAGAUGCAUGGGUGUAAAUUAUAGGGUGGGGUGGGGAGGUUGUAACCCACACCCAGAAUAAUCAAAACCAGCUAAUACAACCCCCUGGAUCCCCCUAAAUGGGUGGAGACCACAACCCUCCCAAUGCUCAACCCAAAGUUACACCCUUGGAGAAAUGUAAUAGCGAACAUCGUGUUCUUUUUGUAUGAGAAGGUAUCUAUUGUAGCACAGUCAUUUCCAUAUGGGGGAGAAUACAACCUUAGACAAGUCCUUACCACUUUACUCCUGCACCAAUCCUCAUCCCAUUCUUCAUAUUUUCAUGUUCUUCUUUAGGUGAAAAUAUUUCAAAGGCUUUAGUAAACACUUUAUUUUUUACAGCUUUUCACGUAAGCAGUCAUUGCAUUCUAUGGAAUCCAGUGUUUGAUAAGGAACUUAAAAAUGUGUGAUUUUAGGAAGAAUUACUUCAUAAAAUGGGACCGGAGGCAUCCUGUAUCAUCACUGUACUGUACACAGCAGUGAACUUAUCUGCAGUGAUGCUUUGCCUCCCACUGGCACUGCGAUUAUCACGGGCAUAGCUGGAAAUUCUGGGCCCUCUGACAAAAUGUCACCUUGGGCCCCACCACCUGCCUUUUUGUAUUUGAGGGUCCCUGUAGUAUGCUGCCCCCCCUGAUUGUGCCAGGGUAUCCAUGCCCCUACUGCGCCACUGGCAAUCACUGCAAUAUGUUCAAAUCCAUAUGAGAAGCUUUGAAAGGAAGGUGAGGGCCAGUGAGUUACUGCAAUGUAAGUUCCAGUGCCACCAUUACACAGCUUGGACAUUAGCAGGUCAGACCCAAAUUUAGGGCCAGGUUGUACUGGUGUCCCUUUCUGCCCCUUUGUGUCCUACUUGUCCAAACAAUGACGCAUUUUGCUUUCCCACUGUAAAUUAAUAUAUUGCUCAGUGACUCAUAUUGCUUGUAGCUAUAAUUACAGCAUAUAUUUAAAGCAUAAUUAAUCCCAAGUCAAAUGUACAUUUUUAAGUGAGACGUUAACAUUUCCAGUUACAAAACAUGUUUGUCAAAUGACUCCCUGCAUGUGUGAUUACAGCCGUCAGUAACUUCCUGCUUCUCGUGAAGACUCCUUACUCAAUUCGAUUGGUCUUUGAAACAUUCUCAAAUCUACCGAUGUACAAUAUGCUUGGACAAUAUUGUAUGAUAUGUAAAUUAAUCAAGUCCCUAAUAACAGCAAGUGGAAGACAAAGACAGACAAAGCUAACUGAGUUUUUUGUUCUCCUGAUGGAAUUUAACACUUGGGCGGACGGGGGAUGCCACAUGUAACCCCAGGGUAUGACAGAAUGACAGGCGCCUUGUUAUCUGCCCUGCCCCUCAAACACAGUGACACGAUUCAGGGGGAACAAAGAGAGAUGUGUGGUUUCUGUGCCUUCGCCAUCCACGUCCCGCAACCAAAACCGUGGCAUCACCGUCCCACUGAGCAUGAAACCAGCCACUGUGAAUCUGCCCCCAGCGGGACCGCCUGUCGCCUGCUACCACUGAGGAUGACUGACAUCUGUCACUUGGAGCUGAGAUGAGGAGUCCUCAUGGAACACGGAAUGUUUUAGACCAGUGGACUCCACUCCACAUCCAGACCAAACUACAAUUGAAUCCGAACUGCAUGAUCGACUGGCCCCCACCAGUCCACUAACCGGAUUCAGUGGACCUGGCAUGUAGCCACAUAAUAAAAUCAUGGGUUUGAAUCCCCCCA